rnacentral:rRNA from 1 species
AGUGAACGCUGGCGGUAGGCCUAACACAUGCAAGUCGAACGGCAGCACAGUAAGAGCUUGCUCUUACGGGUGGCGAGUGGCGGACGGGUGAGGAAUACAUCGGAAUCUACUUUUUCGUGGGGGAUAACGUAGGGAAACUUACGCUAAUACCUCAUACGACCUACGGGUUAAAGCAGGGGAUCUUCGGACCUUGCGCGAUUGAAUGAGCCGAUGUCGGAUUAGCUAGUUGGCUGGGUAAAGGCCCAACAAGGCGACGAUCCGUAGCUGGUCUGAGAGGAUGAUCAGCCACACUGGAACUGAGACACGGUCCAGACUCCUACGGGAGGCAGCAGUGGGGAAUAUUGGACAAUGGGCGCAAGCCUGAUCCAGCCAUACCGCGUGGGUGAAGAAGGCCUUCGGGUUGUAAAGCCCUUUUGUUGGGAAAGAAAAGCAGCAGGUUAAUACCCCGCUGUUCUGACGGUACCCAAAGAAUAAGCACCGGCUAACUUCGUG